GCUGGGCGAGGUGGUGCAUGCCUGUAAUCCCAGCACCUAGGGAGGCUGAGGCAGGAGGAUCAAGAGUUCAAAGCCAGCCUCAGCAAAAGCAAGGAGCUAAGCAACUCGGUGAGACUCUGUCUCUA
rnacentral:sRNA from 1 species